rnacentral:rRNA from 1 species
AGUGAACGCUGGCGGUAGGCCUAACACAUGCAAGUCGAACGGCAGCACAGUAAGAGCUUGCUCUUACGGGUGGCGAGUGGCGGACGGGUGAGGAAUACAUCGGAAUCUACUUUUUCGUGGGGGAUAACGUGGGGGAAACUUACGCUAAUACCGCAUACGACCUACGGGUGAAAGCAGGGGAUCUUCGGACCUUGCGCGAUUGAAUGAGCCGAUGUCGGAUUAGCUAGUUGGCGGGGUAAAGGCCCACCAAGGCGACGAUCCGUAGCUGGUCUGAGAGGAUGAUCAGCCACACUGGAACUGAGACACGGUCCAGACUCCUACGGGAGGCAGCAGUGGGGAAUAUUGGACAAUGGGCGCAAGCCUGAUCCAGCCAUACCGCGUGGGUGAAGAAGGCCUUCGGGUUGUAAAGCCCUUUUGUUGGGAAAGAAAAGCAGCAGGUUAAUACCCCGCUGUUCUGACGGUACCCAAAGAAUAAGCACCGGCUAACUUCGUG